rnacentral:rRNA from 1 species
UUGCUCUUCAACGAGGAAUGCCUAGUAAGCGCAUGUCAUCAGCAUGCGUUGAUUACGUCCCUGCCCUUUGUACACACCGCCCGUCGCUACUACCGAUUGAAUGGCUCAGUGAGGCCUUCGGACUGGCUCAGGGAGGUCGGCAACGACCACCCAGAGCCGGAAAGUUCGUCAAACUUGGUCAUUUAGAGGAAGUAAAAGUCGUAACAAGGUUUCCGUAGCUCAAGUUACGGGACAUAUGUCUUCCCUCCUUAGGGGGGGUCCGACGUAUGAUCCUUCUGCAUAACACUUGCCGAAGCCUUAGCAGCCUGAAAGGGUGCACCCCUACGACUCUAAAGAACAGAGGGAUGCUUAAAUGCUAGUCUAGCUAUCCAUGGGGGUACUAGGCAACACUAUCAAAUUGCGGGAACACCCUAAAGAUCUCAACACCAAGCGUCACUGGAAACAGUGGCGUGGCCGAGCUAAUAGCCCUGGGUAUGGUAACAGCUUGAGAUAUGAUACUCUUUCUAAGAGUUGAAAUGGGCAAUCCGCAGCCAAGUCCUAAGGUAUACCAAGUGUAUGCUAUGGAUGCUGUUCACAGGCCAAAUGGUAGUGGGUGGUGAGGCUUUACAUAGCCAAACUGCUUAAGAUAUGGUCGGGCUCCCUUAGAAAUAUGGGAGAUAAGCUUAUGCUAAUCCAAACCGUUCCGUAGNUGAACCUGCGGAAGGAUCAUUACAAGAGUAUUUCAGUUUGGCUUUAUGCCCUCUGAAAAUCUCCACCCUUUGUUUACAUUACCUUUGUUGUUGCCUCGGUGGGUGCUUUCUAGCACCUGCCGGCAGACACCUUCAAAAACCCUUGAUUUAAUACUAUAGUCAGAGCUGUAACAAGCAAAAGAUUAAUAAAUCAAAACUUUCAACAACGGAUCUCUUGGUUCUGGCAUCGAUGAAGAACGCAGCGAAAUGCGAUAAGUAAUGUGAAUUGCAGAAUUCAGUGAAUCAUCGAAUCUUUGAACGCACAUUGCGCCCUUUGGUAUUCCGAAGGGCACACCUGUUCGAGCGUCAUUACACCAAUCAAGUCUUACUUGGUAUUGGGCUCUUUUGUCCCUAAGAAAUUGGGGACAGGCCUUAAAGACAUUGGCGGCAUAGUCCGGCUUCGAGCGUAGCAAAAACAUCGCUUUUGGAGUUAACUGGAUUAAUGUUCUUUGUCCAUAAAAAACUAGAGUAGAAAUACUCUGACUUUUUUCAAAGGUUGACCUCGGAUCAGGUGGGGAUACCCGCUGAACUUAAGCAUAUCAAUAAGCGGAGGA